UGAGUGCUUUGGCCUGUUUUGAAAGACUGU
rnacentral:piRNA from 1 species